GUGGGCCCCUGCCAAAGCUGAAUCAUGCUAUCCCCUCCGAUAUGGAUCGGAUAGAGGGCUUCCCUGUUGACACACAAGUUACAUACAGGUGCCGUGAUGGCUUUGUUAAAAUCCCUGGAAAGUCAGACACUGUAGUGUGCCUUUCAAACUCACAAUGGUCAAACAUCAAUGAGUUUUGUGGUCGUAGCUGUGGUGCCCCAACAAGGUUAAAGUUUGCUGCCUUAAGUAAGGAAGAUGAGAGCAAGAAUUACCAUCCUGUUGGGGUCACUGUGAGAUAUACUUGUCGCCCAGGGUAUGAAAACAUCACGGAAAUGCUUGUUGUUCGUACUUGUCUCGAAAACUUAACAUGGUCAGAAGCCCCUGAGUUUUGUAGAAGGAAAUCAUGUGGUCAUCCAGGAGAACUACUCCAUGGCAGAGCUGUUCAUAUAACAGAAUUUCUGUAUGGUGCAAAAAUAGACUUCCUCUGUGAAGAUGGGUGAGUGUCAAGGUGCCUCUGGUAGUUAAUUCACAGAACUUUGGUGUACAAUUGCUGGCUAACUGCAAAAUAAUGCAUGGUCUAACUUCAA